rnacentral:lncRNA from 1 species
GGGCUUUGUGACAUAUGGCAACUCGUUCAAAGGCACACAGCUAAGGGUCAGCAGCAACACACUGCACUCCUGACUCCUGCUCUGAUACUUGCCUCACUGGAACCGUCAUCCCCUCUCAUGUGGCAAAUGCAGCUGGGUAUGUGGUCAGUGCAACCUGUACUUCUACAGCCACCAGCCUGCAGGCUGGACCCCAUUAGAGUGAGGAACGGAACCCCUGCUAGCCAGCCUCAGGUGACAAAACUGAGGCUCAGAGGCCAAUGGCCUUGUUCAAGGUCACACGCCCACUAAAUGAGAGACCCGGAGACCUGGCAUCACACGCUAACUAAGAAUACUGGAAGGAGAUAAGAUUGGGACUGAAAGACCUGGAUUGAAUGAUUUUUAUCAAGUCACUUCCCUUCCUUGGAUCUCCAUUUACUCAUCAAUAAACUAAGCAGAUUGGAUUAAAUGUUCUGUAAGGUGCCUUCUAGGUGAGGAAGAAGUUGGGAUAAGUCAUAAGGAAGCACCCCAAUGAACAUCUCCUGCCUCUAUGGUUUUUCUGACAUCCAUCAACAUCUGUCAGAAUUUGAAAAUGUGACUGCUUUUAGGCACUGUGCUUAGUGCUGGAGAUUCCGUGUUGAAGCUCACAGUCUGGGGCAGAGAUGGAAACAGACACAAAUAACUAUAAUACAAUGUGACUACUGCUUGGGCUUCUGUACCUCAGUUUGGAAAACAUCUUCAGGGA